UCGGGGGUCGUUCAAUAGGCAGGACAGCGGGUUUUGGUCCCGUCAAUGGAGGUUCGAGUCCUCCCCCCCGAGCCA
rnacentral:tRNA from 1 species